GACGAACGCUGGCGGCGUGCUUAACACAUGCAAGUCGAACGGAAAGGCCCUGCUUUUGUGGGGUGCUCGAGUGGCGAACGGGUGAGUAACACGUGAGUAACCUGCCCUUGACUUUGGGAUAACUUCAGGAAACUGGGGCUAAUACCGGAUAGGAGCUCCUGCUGCAUGGUGGGGGUUGGAAAGUUUCGGCGGUUGGGGAUGGACUCGCGGCUUAUCAGCUUGUUGGUGGGGUAGUGGCUUACCAAGGCUUUGACGGGUAGCCGGCCUGAGAGGGUGACCGGCCAAAUUGGGAAUGAGAUACGGCCCAGACUCCUACGGGAGGCAGCAGGGGGGAAUAUUGCACCAUGGGCGGAAGCCUGAUGCAGCAACGCCGCGUGCGGGAUGACGGCCUUCGGGUUGUAAACCGCUUUCGCCUGUGACGAAGCGUGAGUGACGGUAAUGGGUAAAGAAGCACCGGCUAACUACGUG
rnacentral:rRNA from 1 species